rnacentral:rRNA from 1 species
ACUCCUACGGGAGGCAGCAGUGGGGAAUUUUGGACAAUGGGGGCAACCCUGAUCCAGCCAUGCCGCGUGAGUGAAGAAGGCCUUCGGGUUGUAAAGCUCUUUCGGACGGAACGAAAUGGUUAGCGUGAAUAUCGCUGACUGAUGACGGUACCGUAAGAAGAAGCACCGGCUAACUACGUGCCAGCAGCCGCGGUAAUACGUAGGGUGCGAGCGUUAAUCGGAAUUACUGGGCGUAAAGCGUGCGCAGGCGGCUCUAUAAGACAGAUGUGAAAUCCCCGGGCUUAACCUGGGAACUGCGUUUGAAACUACGGAGCUAGAGUGUGGCAGAGGGGGGUGGAAUUCCACGUGUAGCAGUGAAAUGCGUAGAUAUGUGGAGGAACACCGAUGGCGAAGGCAACCCCCUGGGCCAACACUGACGCUGAGGCACGAAAGCGUGGGGAGCAAACAGGAUUAGAUACCCUGGUAGUCCACGCCCUAAACUAUGUCAACUAGUUGUCGGGAAAGCAAUUUCUUGGUAACGAAGCUMACGCGUGAAGUUGACCGCCUGGGGAGUACGGUCGCAAGAUUAAAACUCAAAUGAAUUGACGG